GUUACAGGGCAAAUCGAUUCCAAAGUAUGGCAGUUUGGACAUGAUAGAGACUGGCAGUGGGGAUCUGCUGGACCAGGUCAGUGGAGACUGCGAUGAUGAAGAUGGCUGUGCUGGAUCAGGAAGUGGAGAAGCAAAGAAAGUGACCAAGAUCUCCAAGUGGAUUCCAGACAAGAUGAAAGGCGAUAUAAAGCGACCUCAACAGACUGAAGAUGAGGAGACUUUGGACACAUCUGGCACUGAAAUUACAGUGAAGACUAACCUUGUGACCUUUAAUUUGAUUAAUGUGGCAUCACUGCUUCUCAGUGUAUGGUAAUAUCACUCAUAUAAUGUAAAUGCCUUUCUGUAAGCAGAAAACAAAACCUGGUAUGUUUCAGCUAGUGGAGCAGAGAUGCAAACGUUAUCCAGUAUCCCUGCAUUGACUAGUGUUUGUCCUAUCAAGUAUGGGCAUUUUCAAAAGUAACAGCAUGACUUUAUUAUUAAUUUAUAGAAUGCCUUAGAUUCAAUUUUCUUUACCUUGAAAGAAAGUUGUUUGAGUAGCAUGUUGCUCUUUGAUCACACUAAAAAUGAACUCAUUUGUACAUAACGAAUGAUGCUGCUGAUAUUUUAGAACUGAUCAUUUCAUUCCAGUUUCUUUUAUUUAACGAAUGUCUAAAUAAGUGCUAUGAAUAUGUUUUAACAUAAUGUAUGUCUUUCCAACGGAUUUCUUAGUCUCUUAACACUAAACCAAACAAUGCUAUAUGUUCAGUCUUAUGUAACUUGUAAGUAAUUAAUUUAGGAUCAAUGUAUAUUUUGUUCAAAUUUAAGCCUUGCGAACAAAGCUUUUGCAAAGCUUACAGGACUUUGGUUUGAAUCUGCUGAAACAUGGUGUUAGGUUUCCCUAGUGUACCUGAAGCAGGUAAGAUCACCUCCAUGCACAGUGGAUUCAUUAUCUAACCUGCAAAUGCUUUUUAAGUGACGUUAAAAAGAAAUAACAAGAAGCCUUUAGGUACUCUUGUAGGUAACAUGGGUAUGAUACGUCAUACCUAGCUUUGCUACCGAUUUCAGUUUUUAUUUUAUUACAUCUUUUUUUAAAAUUACUAAUUAAUCAUUUUGUUGUUUGAAAUCCUUAGCUUUCCAAUAUAACAGCCACAAUACCAUCACUGAAUUUGAGUUUCAUACCAGCACAAUCAUUUACAUGACAUCACUCAUUCAGCCAUCUCUUCCCCGGGCUUCACUCAUUCAGCCUUCUCUUCCCCGGGCUUCACUCAUUUAGCCUUCUCCUCCCCGGGCUUCACUCAUUCAGCCAUCUCUUCCCUGGGCUUCACUCAUUUAGCCAUCUCCUCCCCGGGCUUCACUCAUUAAGCUGUCUCUUCCCUGGGCUUCACUCAUUCAGCCGUCUCCUUCCCGGGCUUCACUCAUUAGGCCAUCUCUUCCCCGGGCUUCGCUCAUUCAGCCAUCUCUUCCCUGGGCUUCACUCAUUUAGCCUUCUCUUCCCCGGGCUUCACUCAUUAGGCCAUCUCUUCCCCGGGCUUCACUCAUUUAGUCCUCUCUUCCCUGGGCACUCACCCCUGCUUUCCAUAAACAAGGUCUUGUUUAAAUAGUAUUCUAUAGUAUGCCUAUGCUGAGGCCUUUUAAUGCAGUGUAUCCGUGCAGCAGUUUACAUGUGACUCAUUGGCCACUGUUUACAGAGAUGUUAUAUUUUUUUCGACUUAACUUAAUUGAUGGCCACAAAAAUAAACCCUGGCUGUCCAAACCAGCAAAGCACUCUGAGCACACUGUGUUUCUUCCAAUUUGACAUUAUAAUCCACAUUUGAACUAGUCUGGAGACUAUUAAAUGUCAAUACAAGCCUUGAAUUACUGUUCACUCACUGCACAUUUAAGCAACUGAACAGAUUGAUUUCUGAUGCAAGGUUAAUUCUACUAUAAUGUCAACCUAUUUUAAUAAAUACAUUAUUAACUGUUUAACUAAUAGAUACUAAUGUAUUGAAACAUUGAUGCUAUCUGGACCAUCUAAUUUAAUUUUCCAGUAUGCUAGACACAUUGCAACAUGGGUUUAUAUAUAUAUAUAUAUAUAUAUAUAAAGAUCUUGUUUAUUAUACCAUACAGUAUAAACUGGAAUCCAAUCCUUUAAUGGAGUAUUUAAAUAUAAUUUAUAAAUAUACACAUUGCAUAUAAACAUUAGAAACUAAUAAUCCAAUUGUUAUUACAAAUUAAUUUCCAUCAAAACAAAGCCGGUGUAAUUGUCCAAAUAGUUGUUAUUCUGGAAUGAUUGAAAUUAAUUUAAUCUUCAAGUAAGCAGGGGUUUGUGGUGCAGGGAAGAAUGUUUUGAAGGAACAGUAUGAAUUUCCCAACUGAAUUCAACUAUAAUUUAUUUUUUGUUCUGGUAAGAAAACUAAUAAGCCUAGCUUAUUUAUUUUAUUAAAUGAGUCAAUAUAUCAUGGAUUGUUAUGUUUUGUCACAUCCUUCUGAACUCAAUUAAAGUGGUGUUAUUACAGCAGGCCCAAAUUAAGCAACAUUAAAAUGGGAUUAUCCAUAAUGUACAGUUUUACCAUUUUAAAAAGAAAUGUCAAGAAUAAAAUGAGAUAACUCGCCCAUAAUGCAGAUACUUAUAGCUUAAUCCCCAGGACUCACUCCCCUUGCCAUGCUUGUCAGUUUCUGUCUCCAUGAGACAAACGCAGACAUUUACUAAAAAACACAAACAGCAAUAAAGCACUGACCUGAGCACUGUUCAUUUAACACAAACAUGAUACCCUAUGCAGUUUGUUGAAUAACGCUUCAAGUGCAGGAUUUUCCUGAACAAUUGUGUCCACUACUAUAGGCUCCUAACUGCAGUUCUCACUUACAUCUCUAGAAAUACAUUCCCACAGAGGUGCGGACACCACCACAUGCAUUCAUCUUUACUAACCCUGUACAUGUCCUUUAUUGAAACUCACUUGUACGUAUUGCCCAAUUAAAAGUUAUUGACAUUAAGGAAUCAUAGAAUUUUUUUCAUAUGGCUUAUUUCCCUUAUUUGUGUGUUAGAUUUAAAAAUGGAUUUAUCUUCAUUUCUAUUUUUUGUCAAAGGAGUAGUGUGGCUUUGUGUGCUUGCAUUUCAGGUGUUGCUGUGUAGGUCUGGAAAGAGGUCUGUGAGAAUAAUCUAAGCAAUAGACAGUACAUUAACACCACUACUGAAGGAAUGGAAAUGUACUGUCUUUAGACUGGAGUGUCUCUGGAGAAUGUCAUGCUGCAUGUGAUGAUGUAUCACUAUGGUACGAUGUUUGAUAAUAGUUGCUGCAUUGUGCUGUGGCUCCAGACAGAACAGUGAGGAUGCUGGAUUGCAUUUGUUCAAAUGGCUAGCUUAUUUAAGACUUCAUAUUCAAUUUCAUGACCCUGGUGACUAAUGUGUGUGCAUGUCUGAUGAAGUGAGAAAGGUUUAACAUCAUUCCAUAAUUUGUGCGUUAGUUGUACUGAUCUAGAAUAGAUGAUACAUAUUUGCUCUUUUUUUCUUUGACGACAUAUGAGGGACUUGCUAGCUUAUUAUAUUUUUUGGUUUGCUUGCUUAGUUUUUUAUAUGAGGAUUUAUUUUUUCCCAGUACCUUGUUCUGCCAUUUUUACAUCUUGGAAGCAGGGUUUCUCCUCACACUACUGGCAACUGUGGUGUGUCUUACUGUUACCUCUCCCAAGACUACUGACUUCUAGUCUGAAUCUAAAAUAUACUUAUUUUUGUAUUUCUUAAAAUAUCCUCAGUAUUUCUAUUAGGACCUAAAGCUUUCCAUAUAUAAUGUCUGCACUUAUUUGAUGAAUGCACUUCCCAUACCAUAUUUGAAAUAUCCAGCUAUUUUUCUAGUUAAAGACUCACAAAAGACAUACUGGAGAUAUUUGAUUAUUUUACAGUAUGACCAUGCCAUUAAACAAUGUUUGUUUUCAUGUCUAUUUAUACAAUAAUAUUAAACAGAAAAAGAACAAGUUACAGUGCAUAUGUUAUAUUGAAUACAUAGAGUAACUCAGAGUUAAUCAAACCAUAGAUAUUAUGGAGACAGUUUAUUCUAAAAUGAACAAGAAAUGCACUGCUCCGGACUUAAGGUGAACAUUGCACUUUGUAUGUUAAUGUAACACAGUGUUGUGUGAUGUGUUUCUGUGUCCUAUGAAUUCAACAAAGUUAGAUACUUGUACGUCUAUUUAAAUUUAGCAGGGAGUUUAAAAUCACAGUUUCAUGGAAAGCACCUCAUAACUGAAUAGCAGAAGGUACAAUGGUACUCCUGGAGGAGUAACUGUAGUUCUGAUUGUACAGAUCUGAUGAAAAUAGAAUUUAUGAUGGUACAGGGUUGCUGUCAAAACCCUAAUUCUAAAAUGCAUAAAGUAACUUAUAUAGGGCAUAUGCAAAUGUUGUAAUAAAGCUAUAUACAGUGAAUCAUGUUUUGCCAUGUUAUACAUGUCAUAUCACAUACUCUAAUAUAUGUAUAAAUAACCAGUUGACCAAAGUUGCCAUGUAGCAUACACUCUAAUAGUCAGAAUAAUUCAAUGUAUGUUCAGCUUUGUUAUUUCUUGUUUAAUAUGUAUUUAACCAAACCACUUGUGACUCAAUAUAUUCCAGUCCUGGGAGUCAUUUCUAUAUACCAAUAUCUCCGUAUGAGACAAUUAUGAUGUCUAAAGCAGAUCAUAUAAUAAAAGCAGCAUUCUAUUUAAAGUUUACCUGUACCUGUCAUAUUCUACUGACACCAUUUACUGUACUUCUGCUAUUGCCUGCUCUGUUUUCUCCAACUGAACUCUAAUAAACAUGACUGCCCUAAUUCA